rnacentral:rRNA from 1 species
GAUGAACGCUAGCGGCAGGCCUAAUACAUGCAAGACGAACGGUAAGUUGAGUAGCAAUACUUAGCCAAGAGUGUCGUACGGGUGCGUAACACGUAUGCAACCUACCCUAUACAGGAGGAUAGCCUAGGGAAACCUGGAUUAACCCUUCAUAGUAUUAUUGGAUGGCAUCAUUUGAUAAUUAAAACUGAGGUGGUAUAGGAUGGGCAUGCGUCUGAUUAGUUAGUUGGCGGGGUAAUGGCCCACCAAGACGAUGAUCAGUAGGGGUUCUGAGAGGAAGAUCCCCCACACUGGCACUGAGAUACGGGCCAGACUCCUACGGGAGGCAGCAGUAGGGAAUAUUGGUCAAUGGAUGCAAGUCUGAACCAGCCAUGCCGCGUGCAGGAAGAAGGCCCUUUCUGGGGUUGUAAAAGCACUUUCAGUGGGGAGAAAGGUAAUUCACCUAAUACGUGAGUUAAUUGAUGUUACCCACAGAAGAAGCACCGGCUAACUCCGUGCCAGCAGCCG